GACGAACGCUGGCGGCGUGCUUAACACAUGCAAGUCGAACGGAAAGGCCCUGCUUUUGUGGGGUGCUCGAGUGGCGAACGGGUGAGUAACACGUGAGUAACCUGCCCUUGACUUUGGGAUAACUUCAGGAAACUGGGGCUAAUACCGGAUAGGAGCUCCUGCUGCAUGGUGGGGGUUGGAAAGUUUCGGCGGUUGGGGAUGGACUCGCGGCUUAUCAGCUUGUUGGUGGGGUAGUGGCUUACCAAGGCUUUGACGGGUAGCCGGCCUGAGAGGGUGACCGGCACAUGGGGGACCGAGAGGCGAGCCAGUGGCCGGCGGGAGGAGGGAGGGGAGAGUAUUGCACAGGGGGCGGAGGCGUGGGGCAGUGCGGGCGCGGGGGGGAUGGCGGGCGCGGGGUUGUACCCCUCGGGGCCGUGGGGGGAAGGGUGGGGGAGGGUACUGGGUAAAGACGCGCCGGCUAAGGAGGGGCCGGCGGCCGCGGACGGCGAAGGGCAAGCGUCAGAAC
rnacentral:rRNA from 1 species